UACGUAGGGUGCAAGCGUUGUCCGGAAUUAUUGGGCGUAAAGAGCUCGUAGGCGGUUUGUUGCGUCGGCUGUGAAAACGCGAGGCUUAACCUCGCGCCUGCAGUGGGUACGGGCAGACUAGAGUGCGGUAGGGGAGACUGGAAUUCCUGGUGUAGCGGUGAAAUGCGCAGAUAUCAGGAGGAACACCGGUGGCGAAGGCGGGUCUCUGGGCCGUUACUGACGCUGAGGAGCGAAAGCAUGGGGAGCGAACAGG
rnacentral:rRNA from 1 species